rnacentral:sRNA from 1 species
ACUUCCUAAGCCGGAACGAAAAGUUACAGAGUUUAGUUACUUUGAAACUUUUGGCUUUGUGGUUGUGAUGUUGUGUUUGCAAGUUGUCUGGUUGAACCAGACCUUUGUAGCUUUAGCUACUGUUUUUUCACUUCCUGUAC